CGGGACGGGGUGGAGUAAUGUCUGGGAAACUGCCUGAUGGAGGGGGGUAACUACUGGAAACGGUAGCUAAUACCGCAUAACGUCGCAGACCAAAGAGGGGGACCUUCGGGCCUCUUGCCAUCGGAUGUGCCCAGAUGGGAUUAGCUAGUAGGUGGGGUAACGGCUCACCUAGGCGACGAUCCCUAGCUGGUCUGAGAGGAUGACCAGCCACACUGGAACUGAGACACGGUCCAG
rnacentral:rRNA from 1 species